UUUGGGAGGACAGCAGCAAGGAGUCAGGCUGCCAGGAGGAUGUAGCUGUUGGACAAAUGUGUUAUUUUGCAUUGAGCAGGAAGAAGCGACUUAACCAACGAGCUCCUGCAGUACUUGAAUCCCUGACUUUGGGCAUCUAGUUCGUUUUUUGAACCUGAAAUAAUCAACAAAAGCUGCAGCUGCUUUUCCAUUAAUGCGGAAAGGAUGUGGUGUAUUCAGAGCCUGCUGAUGCUAUGAACCGACAAUUCUGGACAUGCCAAGUAUGAGUGACCAACAGGGGACAACACAUCCACUACAAAAGAAAUCUAUUUCCAAGAUGGCUUGCGCUCUGGAUUGUGCCAUAGGAGCACCAGUCAUGGAGGGAAGAUGUGACACCACCAGACACACGUUCCCUGGAAAUUCCACCUUGGGGCUGUGUUUGGAAGCAGUGACGUUGACA